CAACCUUAAGUUCUUGUUGACGGGCAGACCUCCUGCCUCUGUCUCCUUGAUCUCUGUCCUGGGAAAAGCAAUCCUCCAUCAGGAGAAGAAGGAGGCUAGGGGGAGCUUAGGGGGAAAGAAUGCAGGAGCGAGCACCCAAAGGAGAGUCUGGGGGUGAGAACACGGAGGUUACCCGUUGGUACUGACCCUGGAGGCAGGGGUGGUGGCGGUGGUGGCAGGAGAAGGCCCAGCACACGGGCAGUGGAUACAAAGGCCCUGUGGGUGGCCAGGAAGGCAGGCACGAAGCCCGGGUCCUGCUCGUGGUCUCCAGACACCAAUUCCCCCACCAGCCGCUCCAGCCUCGCGGCCCUCAGCGCCCGCACCUUGCUCGUGCGGUAAUGGAGGAAGGCGUCCACAGCGGGGCUGGAGGCCUGCGGAGCAAGGGGGGGGGGGGGGAGGCAAAGGGACACAGAGGAGUGGCCCGGAGCACCCCCUUUCCAAUUAAGCCCAGCGCUAAGCAGCGCUCUUACGUCUGGUCCCUCCCAUUGCUCGGAAUCCGGCCUCCUGGAUUCAUUAUUCUGCUCCAGGCCCAAAUGACCCUCGCAACUCGCCCGGGACCAGGUCGUCCUCCGGGCCCCGCCCCGCGCCCUCACUCACUCGCCCCCACCCCUCCCCGCGCGGCUCCCAGCUCUCCAGACGCGCUUCGCUGGUCUUUCCCGCCCCAGCCCUCCACCCCGGUCCGCUCUCACCCGGCUGCCUCUAACGACGACCCCUCCCUCCAGCGCCGCCCACUAAGCCUGGCGGACCUAGGCCAGGCCUGGCGGACCUGCCGUCCAGUUUAGUCCCCAGGUCCCCGCUCCGGAAGCGCGCAGCCAACCGGCCCGCCGCGCGCCUCGACCCCAUUCACCAGGCCGCCCCCCGGGGCGCCUUUCUACCGCGACCACGUCUGCCUCUAGGCCCCGCCCCUCCCUGGGGCUCAGCCCCGCCCCUCGGCUUCGCCCUCACCUUUUUUGCCUGCGGACUCCUCCACUCAGCCCCGCCCUCACCUGGUCGCCUCCGGCCCGGCUCCGCCCUCCGGCCCCUUCCUCACCUGGCUGCCCCCAGGCCCUUCCCUUGGGCUCGAGCGCUGACUGAGCUGCCGACGUAAGGACACGCUGAACACCGCUCCUUCCUCGGUCUCCUCGCCCCAGUCCUGCAGCGGCGCCUGGACGCGGAGGCGGGCUGAGGGCGCCGCGGGGGGAGGGGGCCCGGGACCUCGUCCCCCCUCUCCCGCGAGGACUUAAGUCCGGGGCGAGGACUCCCGGCACCACUCCCCCUUCCCGGUCAGACUCUGCGAAACUCGGGGCGGCGUCCCGGGCUAGGGAAGUCCCCUCGGCGCCGCGGGUACCCUCCUCCCUGGUCCUGAGAGGAUGGAGUGGUAUUCGGGGACGUCCUAGGGCCCAGGCUCACGGAGUCUGUCCCUGUCCCCUCUCCCCCCCCCCCCCCCAGAUGAGCUCGGAGACGCCCCCAUCCUUAAGAGGUUACCAGCCACUUCACUGGGUCAGGGACCGGGAGGCCGGGCUGGGAAUCAAGUGUCCGAUUUGAGAGGAGAUAGGGUCUGGAAGGCGAGGACCUGGAGCUUCGGGACCUUGGGAUCGCCAGGGAUGUGGCGUCCGGGACCCCUGGUCCCCUUACCAGGGCGAGGUCCUUGCCCGCUGUCCGAUCCAUGGCCAGUGCCCGUCCGGCUCCACGGCGCGGCUGAGUGAGGCGGAAGGGCCGACGGGCGGCGGGCAGUGGCCGGGCGUUGGGGCCCGUGGGGCAGGGCGGGGCGACCUGGCCGUGCAGGGGCGGGGCAGGACCCACGGCUCUCGGAUGCCCCCAGCUGGACCCCAGCGCCAGCCCAGGCCCAGGGAAGAGAGGUCCAGGCUUUCCCUAUAGGGGUAUAUCAAUCUGUGCUCAGCGCGGGCCCGCCUUGGAAGAUUUACUGUGGGAACGUCCGGCGGCCCGGCCCCCUUUUCUACUCCCGGCGCCACUGGCCUUCUCCGCUCCCUCGUGCGGCCGCGUUUAGUCCUCCAAGGGGCCCGAGGGCCUGAGGCUGGACCCAGAACGGUUGGGAGCUCGCAAGGGCCCGGAAGCACCAGAUGGGUGUGAGCGUGAGCCUAGGACUUCCUCGAACGACUGCGCUUCUUGCUGCGGGAUUCAAUUAAUUUCUGGGAACGGAUCUUCAGCGCCGCACGGGUGGCCACGAUGCUCUCUUCAUCCUCACUCUCCUCUUCAUCUGCGGAGGGCAGUGAGGGGAUCCGGGUUCCCAUUCUUGGCUCAGAUUUCUCUUCCCCGAUUUUACCGCCCCCCCCCCCCACCUUGGCCCCAGGCCCGGCCUCGGACCACUUUUCGUUGCCCUGCUUGGGCCCCCAGCCCCGCCCCUUUUCCCUGACCGUACUGACCGAAGAACUUGUCCUUGUGACUGGCAAGGGGCAGAGCGAUGCGGGUGUUGUACCGGGGCAGCUUUCCCUCCAGGAUGGAGUAGAACUGGAGGGAGGGAGGGAGAGGGAGGGAGAAGAGAGAGUGGGCGGGGUAGAGGCUACAGGGAAGUUCUGUACCCCAACCCUUCCUCACCCCAUUCCAAGAUGUACCCUGAUUCCACAGGACACCUCUGCCCACCCCUCCGGUUUAGUUUUUCUCGGGCCCAGCCGAAUUAUGCGUUCCGAGAUACCCAACCCCGCCCCUGGUCCCUGGGGUCCCGCCCCUUGAUCCCCAAACACGCAAGCCCCAGCCCUGCCCAGGGGCCUCCCGGUCCCUCAAACCUCACACGUUGCCCCUGAAACUCAUUCCCGGCCCAUAGGCCUCCUCCCUGGUCUCCCAAGGGGUGUCCCCGGCCCCCUGGUUUUCCGCCCCAGCCCCUGCAUCCUCAGCCCCGCCCCCUGGCUGAACCCGCACCUCGCGGUUGGCGAGGUGGUGCACCAUCGCGGCAACGUCCUGGCUCUCGAGUUGCGCCUGCAGCUUCAGCAGCUUUUCUUCCACGACGCCCAGCAGGGCUGGCAGAUAGUCAUCUGCCUUGGGAUCCAGCACCUUUCCAGCGAACCUGCCGGCGUCCUGAGGCCGGGGGCGGAGCCGAGUCAGCCCGGGCGGGGGGGGGGGGGGGGGGAGGCUUUCCCCCAACAGAACCAGACUUUUGAAGGCGAGGGACCACCAAACAGGGGUGGUACUAUCUCCCCUGUGCGGCAGGACCUCUGUUGUCAAGGGGCCAAGCAGGUGAAGGGAGAGCCUCUGAACUCCAGAGGGAAACAACUGGUGGAGCGAGGGGUUUUAGUGGGAGAAGGGAGUAUUAAGUCGGGAGAAGCCAGAAGAAAUGGGACUCUGCUUCCGGCAGGCUGGGGCUUCCCCUGUCUCAGGCCGCCCGAGCAUUGCAGUGGGGUCUCUGGGGUUUGGGGUGUGGAGGCAAGGUGGGACUUUCCCGUGAAGCCGGGACAGGCUCUCUGUAGUCCUGAGCCUCUUGAGAAGUAAGGGGUUUCUCCGCAGGGACAGGGGUUGGGGACUCUGAGCAGUGGGGGAGGUCUCCCCCUGGAGGCAGGCCUCUGACAUCCCGGACAGGGCAUAGGGUGGGUCCCCUGGAGUAGGCUCCCCUGAGGAGGGGCGGGAACCCCAGCCUCUUGGGCUGUGGGAGGCUGUGGGCCCAGCUUCCUGCGGGUGAGGCCUACCACGGCGAUGUGUUUCAUUUUGCCCGCCAGGUGUUCAAGGCCUUCCCUGGUCAUCUGCAUGGACUGAAUGGUGUGUUCCAGCUUAUCCUGGGCCUCGGUGCGCCGCUGCUCUUCAGCCUCGAGGCGCUCCUGCAACUCAGCCUGCAGCUUCUGCUCGCUACAGGCGAUGGGGAGGUCGCCGCUGGAGCGCCUUGGAGCCCCGGGGCCCCCGUUCUCUCCCUUGGGCACCGGGGCCUCACCUCACCAGCGUGGUCUCCCCCGAGUACUUGAGGUCUUCGAACUCUCGCUGCAACCGCUGCUUCUCUUGCUUCAGCGUCAGCAGCCUCUGCUUGUUCUUGCUCUUGAGCGCCUCCAAACGCGUGAAGGUGUCGCCCUGUGCCAGGAACCGCCUCACCACCGCCUGCAGGCCGCCCAGCCCUAGUCAGAGGCAGGGCUCCGGGCAGGCUUGGGUGCACCCCCUCCUCCUUUCCCCUGGGCACGCGGGACAGAUGGCCUAAGCUGGUGGCUUCUGCGCAGCGAUGCUUCUGGACUCUGUGAGCCAGACUCAGAGCUGCCUGGAGGGUGGGCAGUCCCCAACACACAAUUUUUGUGGGGCCCUUGUCUCUAUAAUGAAUUUGAAUCAGGUAAAACCAGCGUGUGGUGCAGGGCAGCAGAGAACACAGUUGCUUUCCAAAAUCAACCUGCCAUCCGUGUUAGGCCUGUGAAUCUCGCCCAACCCAGUGAGGAAGCAUGGCCAAUCUCUGGAGCUAUCUGCCCAUCAGGUCAAUUUCUGGAAAGUUGCCUGGUCACAGUGCCCCAGAUGACCCCAUAGGUCGGGGUUGCCCUAUGGGAGGAGUAGCGAGUGGGAGAGUGUCCAAAGGGGAGAGACUAAACUGGGGUCCAGUGGGACCAGUAUCCACCGGCGGGAAACAUAGGGUUUAGCAAAUUUCAAGGAAAAUGCUGCAAAGCAUAGGCCCCAGGGCAGGGGCCCAGCUUGCCAAGGGUCUGAGAGUGGCACUGGGCAGUCAGUCUACCGUGCCCCGGACCAUGUUACAGACACUGGAGACACAGGAGAGACCAAACUCACAGUUCUCACAGAGCUGACAUGCCAAAGAAGUUAGUGCUAGCAUGAGAGCAAACAGGAGGGGGAAUGGUGGCGAGUGUAGACAGCUCGAGGGGGUUUUGCUUGUGAGGAGCGGCAGGAAAACGGGGCAGUAACUGGAGGAGGAAGGAGUGUCUUUUAAGUAGAGGGCAGGCUUGUGUGCUGAGGAACCGAGCCAGCAGAAAGGCGCGGCUGGGUGUGCUGGCUUCACUGGCCUGGGCUCAGUUUGAGCGUGACUGGAGGGCGGGGAGGGUUGCGGGCAGCGGGCAGCACUCACGUGGGUAUCGGCCACGCCGGUGGCUUCCUUGACCUUGCCGAAAAGCACCUCCCUCUGGUACAUGCUCCAGCGCCGCUUCAGCGUCUCCUCCUUGGCGCGCAGGCUUUCCUGGGUCAAAUCUUCGGACUGCAGCAGCACGUGCUCGCGCUGGGUCUGCGCGCAGGUCGAGGUCAGGGCUGGGGCUAGCGCUCAGACAAGGAUUUAGGGCCGAGGCCCAAGAGGAGUUUCGGGACAGGGGCCCGGGAGGGGGCGGGGCCAGGAGUGCGGGAAAGGGCGGGUCGGGGACCCGCAGCCUCAGAGGCAGGGCAAAGAGGCGGGGUCAGGAGCGGGGGCGGGGCCUGUGAGGAGGGGGCGGGCUAGCAGGCAGGCUCAGCUUUCGGAGAGGGGGGUAUGCAGACGGGGAAGGAUGGGGAAGACCCGCGAGUUAGGGGCGGUCCGGAGGUUCUCCAGACGAGGCGAUGAGAUGGAGGGAGGGCGAGGUCAGGGAUGUGGGAGCGGCGCUGGCAUCCAGUGGAGGUGGGGGCGGAGUCAGGACCCGUGUGGCGUAGGGCCGGGUCUAGGGUGUGGGCCAACAGUAGGGGUGUGGCUGGGACCGGGCGGGGCCACGUCGGCCCCGCCCCGCCCCCUGGACACGCCCACCUUGCGCUCCAAGCGUUGGUUCUGCAGCUUCCUCUCCUCCGCGCGCUUCUUGCACUCGGAUAAGUGGCGCUCACGCUUCUUGCGCUCUCGGAACACGGACUCCUCCAAACACUGCAGCUGAUUCUGGAGAAACGACAGGGGCACAGCAGGACAAGCUGCGACCUCCCAGGGACCCGGGAGCUCGCGUAGGCUGUACUGCAGCCAGAGCUCAUCCAGCAACUUCCGCUGCAAACGCACCUGGUGCCGCAGGGCGUCCAGCUGCUUCACCUUCUCUCUCAGCUGGUGCUCCAGAUCUUGUUUCGCAUCUCCCGGCCUCAGCCGCAUCUGACCUGGUUGAUCCCCUCUUCCCGCCCAUUGUCUUCUUUGGUGGCUGCCAGGACCCCCGCUCCCCAGUGUGCCACACCGACUGUCUGUCGCUUCUGCAUUUCCUUGGCCUUGGGAGAGACAGCCUCGCCUCUGUUCACACCCACCCCCUCGACGAUCCUAUCCAGUCUCAGGGUUUUAUUUUGUAUUUUAGAGACAGAGAGGGCGAGCUUGGCGCGGGGGGGGGGGGGGGGGGAGAGAGAGAGAGAGAGAGAGAGAGAGAGGACGAGUGGGGGAGGGCAGGGAGAGAGAGAGAGAGAGGGAAAGAAUCCUAGGCAGGCUCCGUGCUGACAGAUGUGGGGCUCGACCCCCUGAACCAUGAGAUCAGGGACCUGAGCCGCAAUCAAGAGUUGGGACGCUCAACCCACUGAGCCACCCAGGCACCCCCCUGCUGACUCUCUUGACCUCAUCUCCUACAGAGCCCCACUCCCUCCUUCCCAUGCAGCCACACUAGCUGCCUUGUUUCGACCUCAGGGACUUUGUGCUUACUGUUCCCUCUGCCUGGAGCAUUUUCCCCACAUCAUUCCCUGCCUGUCUCACUCUCUGGUCAAAUAUCACCUUCUUAGAGAGAGGGAGCUUUGCUGACUCCCACCCCCCAAUCUAAAGUGCAAACCCCUGGCCCUAUCCAUCUCUAAUAAGACACUCUGUUUUGUUUUAUUCAUUUCUUUUGUCACUACUGGAAGUCAUUUUGCCUCUUUCUU